rnacentral:sRNA from 1 species
UUUGUGCCACAGCCUGCUGAGGAGCUGUCUCCCUCCUCCCCGAUGGAUGCCUGGAUCUUGAGCCGCCUUGCCCUGGCUGCCCAGGAGUGUGAGCGGGGCUUCCUCACCCGAGAGCUCUCGCUCGUCACUCAUGCCCUGCACCACUUCUGGCUUCACAACCUCUGUGACGUCUACCUGGUGAGUGAGACUGGGGGAGGCUUGGUAUUCCCAUGCCUGCUUCUAAUUCCUCCGGAAAUUUCCAAGGCAGAGAGCUCUGGAGUUAAUAAGUUCCCAAUUGUCCCCUCAGUUAGGAGAGGAGAGGAGACGAGGGAGUCUCAGUUCCCCUCUUCCUGGGACUGGUUUUGGCAGUGCAGCCCAGGCACUGUUGCCUGCCUGUCACCUGGGGAGAGGAGGAGGAGGGAGACUUCUAGAAAUGUCUGACAAGUCGGUGUCAGAAGGCAGAGGGGAAUUUUUUCAGUCCCUGUAGUUGCUGAGUUUGGCCCAUGGGCAGGCUGCGUGCUGAGAGAGGCCUGGGAGGGACUAGCAGCGGUCUUUAGACCAGGGGUUCUCACGGUGUCCUACGUCCAAAGCACCUGGAGGGCUUGUUGACCGUGGAUCCCCCCCCACAACUGCCACCCCAGAGUGGCUCCUUUAGCAGGUUGGGGUGGGGGUGGGUGGUGUAAUGAAUAUUCAUUUGUUGUCCCAAGUGGUGCUGCUGCUGCUGGCUGUGGACCACUGCCCUAGCUCAGCCUUUUAAAAACCUCUGUCCCCUGUUGAUAAGCAAAAAACUCAGUGAUUUUUUUCCCUAAACUACAUGUUUCCCUGGAAAUCCUGUCCCUGUGUACUGCAGAGAAUUGCUGUCCUGGAGUCCCCUUCUUUGUGCUGAGUGUGUCCUGGGACUGUGGAUCAUAUCAGAAGUGCUAAGUGCUUCUGCCUGUCCCUCUCUCCCAGGACCCAUGGCCUGCCCCGCUGGCAGGUAGCAGUGGCUGUAGGGAGGAGGGCUGUGGCCCUGGACCUGUCCUCUGACCAUUGGCUUCCUCUCCAGGAGGCUGUGAAGCCCGUGCUGUGGCACUCGCCCCGCCCCCUGGGGCCCCCUCAGGUCCUGUUCUCCUGCGCUGACCUCGGCCUCCGCCUCCUGGCCCCACUGAUGCCCUUCCUGGCUGAAGAGCUCUGGCAGAGGCUGCCCCCCAGGGCUGGUUGCCCCCCUGCCCCCAGCAUCUCGGUUGCCCCCUACCCCAGCGCCUGCAGCUUGGAGCACUGGCGCCAGCCAGAGCUGGAGCGGCGCUUCUCCCGGGUCCAAGAGGUCGUGCAGGUGCUAAGGGCUCUCCGAGCCACGUACCAGCUCACCAAAGCCCGGCCCCGAGUGCUGCUGCAGAGCUCAGAGCCUGGGGACCAGGGCCUCUUCGAGGCCUUCUUGGAGCCCCUGGGCACCCUGGGCUACUGUGGGGCUGUGGGCCUGUUACCCCCAGGCGCAGCAGCUCCCUCCGGCUGGGCCCAGGCUCCACUCAGUGACACGGCUCAAGUCUACAUGGAGCUGCAGGGCCUGGUGGACCCGCAGAUCCAGCUACCUCUGUUAGCCGCCCGAAGGUACAAGUUGCAGAAGCAGCUUGAUAGCCUCACAGCCAGGACCCCAUCAGAAGGGGAGGCAGGGACUCAGAGGCAACAAAAGCUUUCUUCCCUCCAGCUGGAAUUGUCAAAACUGGACAAGGCAGCCUCUCACCUCCGGCAGCUGAUGGAUGAGCCUCCAGCCCCAGGGAGCCCGGAGCUCUAACUCAUCAUCCCCAUCAGUUUUCCUCCCUCUCAGACCUGUCUUUGAGGACAAACAGAUUUGUCAGCUGUGAGGGUGCAGUGGGAUGUCAGAGACUGUGGUCCAUCGCCUUCAUUGUGUAAAUGAGGACACAGACUGACUUGGUCGCAGUGACUGUGGUGUCCUUGAGAUGCUCACAUUACUGCCCAGCCUGCCUCUCACCUGGAAGUCUGGGAAUGAGGAGAUUGAGAUAAACUUUUGAAAUCCCAAA